UUCAGCCGUCCUAGCUGUGAAGUGUGUGUCCGGCAGGAUCUGGGAGUUUUCCAUCUCUCUCUUUGGCACAGAGCCUCAAGUGGAUGAUGUCAUCAUCACUGAGGCCACUGAGUUAGGCAAGACAUCAGCUGUGGGCUUCCAUCUGACCAGCACCACCAGGAGGCCAGAGCGGUUCACCGCAGCGUUCCUACCCGGCAGCAGCAGUGAGUUCUCUGUGACACCAGCCUCGGGGGUGUUACCUCCUGUUGGUUCUCCUGGAGCCCCCUUCAGUCUGUGCUUCACACCCAGCACACACAGCAACCACAGAGCAAGGCUAACCAUCCAGACAAAAGAUGUGCAGUGGACCUACGAGGUGAGAGGGGAAACCCCUCCUGACCCCCCACCCAUCUGUAGCACACCCACCAGAGGCAGCUUUCCUGUGCCAAUCAAUCCAACCAAUCAACAGCCGAGGAGCUUUGUGGCUCAGAACCUCCGUCUCCCUGCCCUGGCUAACUCGUCCCCUCUCAAAGUCCGCAGAUAAAGGCAACGCCACUCUCGAACAGCUAACAGCGACGUUUCUGUCUGAUUUCCUUUACCCAGCAACAUCUACCACACAAUGUCACCUCCAAAGACAUACCUUUAUAAUUAGCUAUUUGGACUGGCACGUUGCCAUAUGGCAGCGAUGGUGAUGGGUAUCACCGCUUGUCCUUUUUGUCUCUUAAAAUUGAACAUUAGUCCUGUUAGUGCUUCUCAGCAGCAGCUGACACACACGGCUGCCAAUACUAAAAUGUCUUCCCUGUGGCAAGUGAAGUGAAAUGACAAUUAUUUUUAAAA